rnacentral:rRNA from 1 species
AUGGGUUGUCCUGAUGGAACAGUGAAGAUCGGCGACUAUAUGGUCUGGCGACAUUAUUGCAUCAAUGGAAAAAGCAAAGUGUCAAAGCCUCUUCUGUCAAUCCAGCAGCACACCGCUGCCCUUUGCAUCCUCCCUGCAUCACUGCAACUGGGCCGUGCUCACAUCGUCUGUGGUCACAUGCGCAAUCUCUGCGCUCGACGCUGCCUCCACCGAGAUUCAUUGCAAGGGUGCCUGAAACGCCCACUGCUGGGUACAUGCAUACAACAAUUAUGCCAUGUCUUCCCUAUUCGAUCGGUCGCACAGUGUCUGUAA